UACUGGCUAAGAUUAGCUCCUAUUUUGCAGACGGCAGUUGUCCUGGGAGGAAGCCUCUGAGCUCUUUGUAACCAACACUCAUGGCAACAGGGGAUGUCAGGAAGCUGGAGGUGUCUAGGAUCUUGGAUGCCUUGGGCAGGAUAGAAGAGUCUGAUAACACAGAUGCCAGUGACGAGGCCAGAA
rnacentral:lncRNA from 1 species